rnacentral:rRNA from 1 species
UACGUAGGGCGCAAGCGUUAUCCGGAAUUAUUGGGCGUAAAAAAGCUCGUAGGCGGUUUGUCGCGUCUGCCGUGAAAAGUCCGGGGCUCAACUCCGGAUCUGCGGUGGGUACGGGCAGACUAGAGUGAUGUAGGGGGAGACUGGAAUUCCUGGUGUAGCGGUGAAAUGCGCAGAUAUCAGGAGGAACACCGAUGGCGAAGGCAGGUCUCUGGGCAUUAACUGACGCUGAGGAGCGAAAGCAUGGGGAGCGAACAGG